UACGGUGGGGGCUAGCGUUGUUCGGAAUUACUGGGCGUAAAGCGCGCGUAGGCGGCUUUGUAAGUUAGAGGUGAAAGCCCGGAGCUCAACUCCGGAACUGCCUUUAAGACUGCAUCGCUAGAAUCAUGGAGAGGUGAGUGGAAUUCCGCGUGUAGCAGUGAAAUGCGUAGAUAUGCGGAGGAACACCGAUGGCGAAGGCAAUCCCCUGGACCUGUACUGACGCUCAUGCACGAAAGCGUGGGGAGCAAACAGG
rnacentral:rRNA from 1 species